rnacentral:tRNA from 1 species
GGCAGGGUAGCUCAUCUGGUUAGAGCGAGCGGCUCAUAAUCGCUAGGUAGCGGGUUCGACCCCCGCCCCUGCUA